rnacentral:rRNA from 1 species
CCUUUGACGUUAGCGGCGGACGGGUGAGUAACACGUGGGUAACCUACCUAUAAGACUGGGAUAACUUCGGGAAACCGGAGCUAAUACCGGAUAAUAUUUCGAACCGCAUGGUUCGAUAGUGAAAGAUGGUUUUGCUAUCACUUAUAGAUGGACCUGCGCCGUAUUAGCUAGUUGGUAAGGUAACGGCUUACCAAGGCGACGAUACGUAGCCGACCUGAGAGGGUUAUCGGCCACACUGGAACUGAGACACGGUCCAGACUCCUACGGGAGGCAGCAGGC